GACGAACACUGGCGGCGUGCUUAACACAUGCAAGUCGAACGGAAAGGCCCGGCCUAGGUGGGGUGCGCGGGUUGCGACCGGGUGAGUAACACGUGAGUAACCUGUCACUGCCCGUGGGAUAACUUCAGACAACUUAGUCUAAUAGCGCCUAGGAUCUCUCGCUGCAUGGUGGGGGCGGGUUGGUUUCGGCGGUUGGGGGUGGAAUAGCGUCGUAUUAGCUUGAUGGUGGGGUAGUGGGUUACCAAGCCCAUGACGCGUAGCCGGGCUGAGAGGGUGACCGGCCCAAUUGGGCUGGGGAUGCGACACAGACUACUACGGGAGGCAGCAGUGGGGAAUAGUGCACUAUGGGCGGAAGCAUGAUGCAGCAACGCCGCGUGGGGGAUGACGGGCAGCGGGUUGUAAUGUAAUGCCGCUUGUGACGAAGUGUGAGUGACGGUAAUGGGUGAAGAAGCACCGGCUAACUACGUG
rnacentral:rRNA from 1 species